rnacentral:rRNA from 1 species
UACAGAGGUCCCAAGCGUUGUUCGGAUUCAUUGGGCGUAAAGCGCACGUAGGCGGAUUGUUAAGUCGGGGGUGAAAUCCUGGAGCUCAACUCCAGAACUGCCUUCGAUACUGGCGAUCUUGAGUCCGGGAGAGGUGAGUGGAACUCCGAGUGUAGAGGUGAAAUUCGUAGAUAUUCGGAAGAACACCAGUGGCGAAGGCGGCUCACUGGCCCGGUACUGACGCUGAGGUGCGAAAGCGUGGGGAGCAAACAGG